rnacentral:rRNA from 1 species
AGAACGAACGCUGGCGGCAUGCCUAACACAUGCAAGUCGAACGCUUUUGGGGCUUCGGUCCCAAAGGAGUGGCGCACGGGUGAGUAGCGCGUGGGAACCUGCCCUGGAGUGGGGGAUAACCGAGGGAAACUUCGGCUAAUACCGCAUACGCCGGGAAACCGGGAAAGAUUUAUCGCUCUAGGAGGGGCCCGCGUCGGAUUAGGUAGUUGGUGGGGUAACGGCCUACCAAGCCUUUGAUCCGUAGCUGGUCUGAGAGGAUGAUCAGCCACACUGGGACUGAGACACGGCCCAGACUCCUACGGGAGGCAGCAGUGGGGAAUAUUGGACAAUGGGCGCAAGCCUGAUCCAGCCAUGCCGCGUGAGUGAUGAAGGCCCUAGGGUUGUAAAGCCCUUUCGGCGGGGAAGAUAAUGACGGUACCGCAGAAGAGCCCGGCUAACUUCGUGCCAGCAGCCGC